UCCCUAGCAGUCCAGUGGUUAGGACUUUGUGCUUUCACUGCUAACGGCCCGGUUCAAUCCCUGGUUGGGGAA
rnacentral:tRNA from 1 species